rnacentral:rRNA from 1 species
UACGUAGGGUGCGAGCGUUGCCCGGAUUUAUUGGGCGUAAAGGGCGCGUAGGCGGCUCUGCACGUCCGUUGUGAAAUCGCCCGGCUCAACUGGGCGGGGUCAGCGGAUACGGCGGAGCUUGAGCAAGCUAGGGGGCAAUGGAAUUCCCGGUGUAGUGGUGGAAUGCGUAGAUAUCGGGAGGAACACCGGUGGCGAAGGCGGGUCUCUGGACCGAGACUGACGCUGAGGCGCGAAAGCGUGGGGAGCAAACAGG